AUUAGUAAGUUUCACCCCACGCUAAGGGCAGGAUAUUAGGUAUGUUUCGUCAUUGCUGUUAAAAUCAGCUCUCUUUCGACGCCGUUAGGCCUACACAGAUGAUCACGAGGUAUAAGAGGGGUUUGAUUUUAACGCUGUAGGUGGCACCACUGCCUUAGCGCUGAUGAUGCGUUGACGAUGCGCAAUGCUUUAAAAGCCUAAUCGUUCACUCCAUCAUUAUUUUGUCCUUCGCUCUUGUACGCUACGCGAUGGCGGUGUCGGAAACACCGACUUGACCCCCAGCAGAUGACGCGGACUAGGUGAACAUAUUAAGCCAUUAGCGUCCAGCGUACCAUUAAAAGUGCAGUACCAUUUUCAUUUGUAAAUAAUUAAAGAAGUAACAUACUGUGCUCCUAAGUAGGCACUUUUGCUAAGAGUGAUCCGGCCAAGACGACCGCAUCGUUGUUUUUUGUCAGCUGUAUGAUGUAAUUGAUCUAUUCAUCGCCAAACGUGGAGAAGCGCUGAAAAUAGCAGGUGCUGCUGCUGUAAAUGCACCCUUUUCACCUUUUGUCUGUCGUAGCAUAUGCUUCUCAAAGCUCGACUUGGUGCGUGGGUUUUAGAAGAGACUGGCAGAAGCCAGAAAUAGAAAACAGAAAAGACGAUGUAUAUCCCUCUGCCAAUCGAUAUGGGUCCUUGCAAUUGGAGAUGCUAUGAGUUCGCGGCAGCAGCAUUUAAAAGAGCAGUUCCAGUUGCGAAAGACAAAUUUGAUUGUAAGCGCUGCGAUUUUCGAUUUCUGAGAAAUAGAAGCUCUCUUUCCAUUUCUGAGAAAUACAAGCAGUCUUUCAAUUUCUGAGAGAUAAGGUCCUUCCGCCGGCACAAAUAAACUUCGACUUCGAAAAUUCGCCGAAUUAUUGGAAGAUCUUGCUAAAGGUCUAGAAUGUCUCAAUGCACGUCAAAUGCACGCGCCAUGCGUCAGACACCGGAGCGAGCGACGCCGGCUGCGCAUGGGAGCGUUGGCCUGUUCGGCGACCUUUCUACAUGUUCUUUCUUUUCUUGGAUUUAGGCUGGUUUGUUGGGCUCCCCACGUGUUCGUGCGUUCUUUCUGCACUUCGGCACGGCACUACUGCACUAUUGGACGACGCCAAGCUGGCGCCGUCCGGUGGAGCUUUGUACGGGAACUACUGCUGCUUAUCUGGUGCCACAACGUUGAAUGAAUGCACAAAAAGCCCGUGUUGAGCAACGACGGACGCUGCGGACCAAGGAAGCUACAGGCGUCGGUAGCAGGCAACAAAACGCGGACUAUUUCAUUUUGGUGUAUUCGCCUCCCUCAUUGUCCGAGGCUCCCAGAGCUACGACAGAGCUGCAAGAUAGAUAGUGAUGUAAAGGAAAGAAAUAAAGCAUGAUUCUGCAACCCCUGA